rnacentral:rRNA from 1 species
AUGCCGUCGUCUCAGGUUCCAAAGAUUUCAUCUCUGCACGAUGAGUUGAGAGAUGGCCAUGGUGUUGAGGGUGCUGGUUAUGUUCCCCCUGGCCCUAGUAAUGCUAGUACUUCACAGAGGCAGGGUUUUGGUAUUGAUGUUGCUGUUUCUGCGUUGGAGCGCGCUGAGCAUAUUUUUAGUAAUGUGUGUUCUGAGCUGCAAAAGGUCCCAAUUACAGUUGGGCGUCUGAGCUGUAUCAAUGGUAUCCUUCCUGAAGGUCAUCAAUUUAACGCUGAGGAAGCAUCGGACUAUAUUGAGAUGGAGAGAAUUUUAAUUGGUGAUAUGCGUGACGGUACUGCUCAUCUAGUUCAGAGCUCGCUUCGUCUGUUGAACAUCAUGAAGCGGUUCAAAACUAUGCAAGACUCUCGCUGCAAGCCAUAUGAAAAAAGUGCAAAUGUUGUUAUCAGGCAGAUUGAGCAGGAUGAGGCUGCUGCCACCGACAGCAGGGCUGGUGAUCGUACUGAGGCUAAUGUUUCUGAUCACCAUACGAAUGAUGUUGGCUUGGAGUGCCCUGUUGUUGAUGUGAGUCAGUCCUCGGCUGCUGUCACCGACAACAGGGAUGGUGGUUGUACUGAUGCUAAUGUUUCUGAUCACCAUAAGAAUAAUGUUGGCUUGGAGCCCCCUGUUGUUGAUGAGACCAGUCAUAGUGUUGAGGCUGCUGUUAACCAUGGAGUUAAUGAUCCAUCUACUGAUAAGUGCAAGGGUCCUGUUGUUGGCGACGAGCCUUGUUCGACCAUUGGUGAUGUUCCUUUGAAUGUUAGCAGCAGCAAGAUCGAUGAUGUUGUUGUGGAUGCUGCUAAGAUGACUGAUGUUGAGCGUGAGGCUGUCGUUAGUGGUGGAGAUGAUGCUUGUGGUGUUCCAUUGAGUAGUGGGCACGAUGCUGGUACCAAAGUUGCCGAUGAGGAUGUUGGUGCUGCCAGCAUACUUGAUGCCAAUACGUCUGGUGUUGGUGUUGCUGGGAAUGAAAAUCUUUCUGAUUGUGAAGAUUUGCCGCCGGAAAAUUUCCUGCCCGGAGGGCUUGAUUACGGUGAUGCAUUGCAAGAUGCCUCUAGCGUGGAGGAGGUGCCAUCCAAGGAUGAUGAUUUACUCCUAUCGAUUUCUUCUGGCCCCUUGAUGCAGGAGGCGCUCCUGUCGUCCCAGGAUUUUCUUUCUUCAGACCCUGAAAGCGCAGCCAUAUUGCUGUCCUCACAAGAUCUUCCAUCGUCAAACCCAGAGACUGCAGGCAUAUUGGUGUCAUCACAGGAACUCCCGUCGUCAAAUGCAGAUACUGAAGCGUUUGUCCCCACUGGCAUGCUCAACUCAGACAGUGCUGAUGUUGUUUUAUAUUCUCUACGUCAGAAGUACUGA